GUAUCAAGUACUCCUUUGAGAUCAAUGGGUGAUAACAAAAUGUCAUGUGAAAGGGACGAUCCAUGUGCAUGUGCUGGUAUUAAGUGAUGUACUAGAAGUAGAAAAUUUUCUUGGUGACUUUUCACAACCCUUGGUUACUGGAGAAUUACUUGACUAAAAAAAAAAGAUAAAUAAAGAGCUAGCGAAGUCUUAUGGUGGUCGUAACUCACUUACCCUGAGAAGCGUCCCGACCUUAGACCGAGCAUAGAUUAAAAAAGAGAAACAUAGAAGAGAGGCAUAGAAGUUCCUUGGUGACCCUAAGCUAUAGUUGACUCCACUGUAACGAAGUGUUUAAGCAUUAUUCUGAUUAAUGGCUCAUGGUUGAGACUCUGUUGAAGUUUGUUGGUCUCUGUUUUGUUUCAUUA
rnacentral:lncRNA from 1 species